rnacentral:tRNA from 1 species
GGGAGCUUAGCUCAGCUGGGAGAGCAUCUGCCUUACAAGCAGAGGGUCAUAGGUUCGAGCCCUAUAGGCCCCA